rnacentral:lncRNA from 1 species
AUGCUGGAGAUGAAUAAAAUAAGAGAAAGAAAGAAAGAAAGAAAGAAAGAAAGAAAGAAAGAAAGAAAGAAAGAAAGAAAGAAAGAAAGAAAGAAAGAAAGAAAGAAAGAAAGAAAGAAAGAAAGAAAGAAAGAAAGAAAGAAAGAAAGAAAGAAAGAAAGGAAAGAAGGAAGGAAGGAAGAAAGAAAGGAAGAAAGAAAGGAAGAAAGGAAGGAAGAAAGAAAGAAAGAAAGAAAGAAAAGGAAGGAAGGAAGGGAGAGAGAAAAAGAAAGAAAGAAAGAAAGAAAGAAAGGAAGGAAGGAAGGAAGGAAGGAAAGAAGGAAGAAAAAAGGAAGAAAAAAGGAAGAAAGAAAAUUAUAUUUCAAUCUAUACUUUGAAUUUAUCAGUUCUCUAUCUGUGGGUGGAUAGCAGUUUUUCAUCAUGAUUCCUUUGGAAUUGUCUUAGGUCAUUAUAUUUAUCAGAAGAGCCAAGUCUUUCUCAGUUGGUCAUCAUUACAUCAUUAAUAAUAGUGAUCUGGUUCUUCUCACUUCACUCUGCAUCAAUUCAUAGAGGUCUUUCUAUGUUUUUCUCUUCCUUUGCUAUCACAAUAACAUGCCACAACUUGUUCAGCCAUUCUCCAAUUGAUGAAUAUCUCUUCAAUUUCUGAUUCUUUACCACCACCAAAAGAGCUGCUAUAAAUCAGAUUCUACUUCUUAAGACCUGGAGCUAAAUAGAUAUGAAGUCUUUAAUACACUAGAUCAGUCAGAAAGCCUGCCCCUGCUACCUGAGUUUCUGAUUGAAACAUUCUGUCCUCUGAGUCAGAGUAAGAUGUUGGGAUACCCCUAUUUUGGAACUGUUUAUUUAUUUUUAAUUUUUCCUCUAGGUUAUUACAGGGCAAAAUGAAUAGUAAAGUUCUUAGUAGACCAUCUGAUGUAUAACUGGAGAGGUAUUGAAAGUCAGAACUUUGGAAGACUCUGAAAAGGAAUUUCUUUCCUAGUCAUACAAAAUUGGAUUUUUGCUCUUUCAAUAAAUAUAACAUAGAAGUGUAGUGAGGAAAUGAA